CUAAUUAGGCAAUAAGGGUUGGAGUAACAUAAAGGACAAGAUAGUGACGGAGAGAAGAAGCUGCGGUCUUCCACGUGAUCGAUAACACAAAGAAAGCAAAAAUGGGGGGCAGAUCAUCCAAACAAACAACAACCACAACCACUGCGACAACAACUACGACGACAACGACAACCACAGCUGCACCCACAGCUGCACCCACAGCUGCACCCACAACAACUAGAGCAGUACCAACCACAACUCCAGCACCAGUAUUGGAAAGGUUGAACACUGAGCAGCAGAUCAUAAUAGCAUUCUCCUGCCUGGGGUUACUUCUGAUCAUCACAGCUGUGGUGGCAGUUUACUUUCUGUGGAGAAGAAAAGCGUUGGCCAGGAAACCAGUUGGGGGAAGAAAUGAAGUCAUAGAGAGAACAGGAACAACGGACACAGAGGUUCCUGUAUGCGUCACAGAGAGCACCUAUGCGAACGUGCCGGAGAAGCAGCCGCGGGAACCAGCAGAGACGGUCACCUACAGCGAGCUGACCAUCCGCAGGGGGACAGGCCGGGCCUCUCUGCAGCCUUCCGAAACGACGGAAUACGCCUGCGUCCACGUGAACGAUGCCUGAAUUCUGAGCCGCCUGCCGUGCGAAAUGCACUGUCCCGCCCGAGGGUAUGAACUGCAAACUCUUAGCAAGAAGGGAAUCCCACAAUGCAAUGCUCCGCGCGACGCAGAGAGGAUAGGGUUAGGGUUCGGCUCCAUUUCGGUUUGUUCCGCAGAGCAGCUUGAUCACUCGUUGCACGUCACAAAUUUCAUCUCAAAAUGGCUGACUGGAGGGAAGAGGGCGAGGGAAGGGAACAUGUUAAAGUGGAUCUGAAUGCAGCCAUGUUUCGUAUCUUCUGAGGGUUCAUCCUGGGAGAUGCCAUUUUAGCAUUUCACAUUACAUUACAGGCAUUUAGCAGAUGCUCUUAUCCAGAGCAACUUACACAACCUUUUACAUGGCAUUUACAUUGCAUCUAUUUAUACAGCUGGAUAUGCACUGAAGCAAUAUGGGUGCAACAAGGGUGCAACAACCUGGGAAUCGAACCUGCGACCUUUAGGUUACAAGUUCCAGCUCCUUACCUAUUAUACACUGCUGUCCCAGCAUGUGGGUGGCACAGACCACACUUCCUGUUAGUGCUCAAUUUUUACUUGACUAUAUAAUAUAUACUGUGUUUCUGUUUCUGUGCGUGAUUAAUUUGGUUUACUUUGGUUUAUUUGGUUUUGUAUGACAUUUUUAUGGUAUAAAAUUGUUCUUUCUGUAA